GACGAACGCUGGCGGCGUGCCUAAUACAUGCAAGUCGAACGCAGUGGGGACGGGUGAGUAACACGUGGGUCACCUCCCAUCAGAGGGGAUAACACUUGGAAACAGGUGCUAAACCGAUACUGAUGGAUGGACCCGCGGUGCAUUAGCUAGUUGGUGAGGUAAAGGCUCACCAAGGCCACGAUGCAUAGCCGGACAAGGAGGGUGAUCGGCCACACUGGUGCUGCGGCACGGACCAGACUUCUACGGGAGACAGCAUGAGGAAUGAUGAGGCAAAGGACGGAAACCUGACCGAGCAGCGCCGCGUAAGGGAAGAAGGUGUUCGGAUUGAAAAUCUCUGUUGUUAGAGAAACGGUAUCUAACCAGAAAGCAACGGCUAACUACGUGCCAGCAGCCGCGGUAAUGC
rnacentral:rRNA from 1 species